AGUAUCACGUGGGCAAUCUGUCCUGUCUGGGGGGAUAACACCGGGAAACCGGUGCUAAUACCGCAUGAGAUCAUCGGUCGCCUGGCCGAUGAGGAAAGCAGCAAUGCGCGACUGGGGGAGCCCGCGGCCUAUCAGCUAGUUGGUGGGGUAACGGCCUACCAAGGCUAAGACGGGUAGCUGGCCUGAGAGGACGACCAGCCACACGGGGACUGAGACACGGCCCCG
rnacentral:rRNA from 1 species